GUGGGGAAUUUUGGACAAUGGGCGCAAGCCUGAUCCAGCAAUGCCGCGUGCAGGAAGAAGGCCUUCGGGUUGUAAACUGCUUUUGUACGGAACGAAACGGUCCGGGUUAAUACCCUGGGCUAAUGACGGUACCGUAAGAAUAAGCACCGGCUAACUACGUGCCAGCAGCCGCGGUAAUACGGAGGGUGCAAGCGUUAAUCGGAAUUACUGGGCGUAAAGCGUGCGCAGGCGGUUUUGUAAGACAGGCGUGAAAUCCCCGGGCUCAACCUGGGAAUUGCGCUUGUGACUGCAAGGCUGGAGUUCGGCAGAGGGGGAUGGAAUUCCGCGUGUAGCAUGGAAAUGCGUAGAUAUUCGGAGGAACACCGAUGGCGAAGGCAAUCCCCUGGGCCUGCACUGACGCUCAUGCACGAAAGCGUGGGGAGCAAACAGGAUUAGAAACCCUGGUAGUCC
rnacentral:rRNA from 1 species